GAGUUUGAUCUUGGCUCAGGACGAACGCUGGCGGCGUGCCUAACACAUGCAAGUCGAACGGAGAACUCAAAAAGCUUGCUUUGAGAGUUCUUAGUGGCGGACGGGUGAGUAACGCGUGGGCAACCUCCCCCUUAAACCGGGACAACCCUUGGAAACGAGGGCUAAUACCGGAUACACUUUUCUGAGGACAUCCUCGGGAAAGGAAAGGCGGCCUCUGAAGAUGCUGCCGAUAAGGGAUGGACCCGCGUCUGAUUAGCUGGUUGGUGGGGUAAAGGCCUACCAAGGCGACGAUCAGUAGCCGGCCUGAGAGGGUGGACGGCCACACUGGGACUGAGACACGGCCCAGACUCCUACGGGAGGCAGCAGUGGGGAAUCUUCCGCAAUGGACGAAAGUCUGACGGAGCAACGCCGCGUGUAUGACGAAGGCC
rnacentral:rRNA from 1 species